GUGGUACUCCCUCCGUCCAAUAAAGGAUGUCUCAAUUUUGACUAAAUUUGAAUGAGUCUAUACACUAAGUCAUGUCUAGAUACAUCCAAAUUUUGACAAACUUGAGACAUCUUUUGUUGGACGGAGGAAUUACUUC
rfam:Brachypodium distachyon strain Bd21 chromosome 1, whole genome shotgun sequence.